rnacentral:rRNA from 1 species
UACGGGGGGGGUAAGCGUUGUUCGGAAUUACUGGGCGUAAAGGGCUCGUAGGCGGCCAACUAAGUCAUACGUGAAAUCCCUCAGCUUAACUGGGGAACUGCGUGUGAUACUGGAUGGCUUGGAUUUGGGAGAGGGAUGCGGAAUUCCAGGUGUAGCGGUGAAAUGCGUAGAUAUCGGGAGGAACACCGGUGGCGAGGCGGCC